GGGAGGGGUGCGAGCGUUAAUCGGAAUUACUGGGCGUAAAAGGGCGAGUAGGGUGGUUGUUUAAGUUGGAUGUGAAAUGUCUGGGCUUAACCUGGAUUAGUCAUCCGAAACUGGAUAACUAGAGUACGGUAGAGGGUAGUGGAAUUUCCGGUGUAGCGGUGAAAUGCGUAGAUAUCGGAAGGAACAUCAGUGGCGAAGGCGACUACCUGGACUGAUACUGACACUGAGUCGCGAAAGCGUGGGGAGCGAACAGGAUUAGAUACCCUGGUAGUCCACGCUGUAAACGAUGACAACUAACCGUUGGAGCUGAAGAGGGCUUUAGUGGUGAAGCAAACGCGCUAAGUUGUCCGCCUGGGGAGUACGGCCGCAAGGUUA
rnacentral:rRNA from 1 species